rnacentral:rRNA from 1 species
GUUUGAUCCUGGCUCAGAACGAACGCUGGCGGCGUGGCUAAGGCAUGCAAGUCGAACGAAUUUACCAAGUGAGUAAUCAUGCGGUGAAUUAGUGGCGGAAGGGUGAGUAAUGCACAGGUAACGUUCCCUUAACAUCGGGACAGCCACGGGAAACCGUGGGUAAUACCGAAUGACAUCCCCGGAUCGCAUGAUCUGGUGAUCAAAGGUUUCGGCCGGUUUUGGAUCGGCCUGUGUCGUAUCAGCUAGUUGGUGAGAUAACGGCCCACCAAGGCAUCGACGCGUAGCGGGAUCGAGAGGUCGACCCGCCACAUCGGGACUGAGACACUGCCCGGACCUCCACGGAGGGCUGCAGCAACGAAUAUUGCGCAAUGGACGAAAGUCUGACGCAGCGACGCCGCGUGUAGGAUGAAGUUCUUCGGAAUGUAAACUACUGUCAGGGAGAAGAAAGACUUCGGUUUGAUCUAUCCCAAAGGAAGCCCCGGCUAACUCCGUGCCAGCAGCCGCGGUAAUACGGGGGGGGCAAGCGUUGUUCGGAAUUACUGGGCGUAAAGGGCUCGUAGGUGGCCACCUAAGUCCGACGUGAAAUCCCUCGGCUCAACCGGGGAACUGCGUCGGAUACUGGGUGGCUUGAAUCCGGGAGAGGGACGUGGAAUUCCAGGUGUAGCGGUGAAAUGCGUAGAUAUCUGGAGGAACACCGGUGGCGAAGGCGGCGUCCUGGACCGGUAUUGACACUGAGGAGCGAAAGCCAGGGGAGCAAACGGGAUUAGAUACCCCGGUAGUCCUGGCCCUAAACGAUGAGUGCUUGGUGUGGCGGGUAUCGAUCCCCGCUGUGCCGGAGCUAACGCGUUAAGCACUCCGCCUGGGGAGUACGGUCGCAAG